rnacentral:rRNA from 1 species
AGAGUUUGAUCCUGGCUCAGAUUGAACGCUGGCGGCAGGCUUAACACAUGCAAGUCGAGCGGGGAAGGUUGCUUCGGUAACUGACCUAGCGGCGGACGGGUGAGUAAUGCUUAGGAAUCUGCCAUUUAGUGGGGGACAACAUUCCGAAAGGAAUGCUAAUACCGCAUACGUCCUACGGGAGAAAGCAGGGGAUCUUCGGACCUUGCGCUAAAUGAUGAGCCUAAGUCGGAUUAGCUAGUUGGUGGGGUAAAGGCCUACCAAGGCGACGAUCUGUAGCGGGUCUGAGAGGAUGAUCCGCCACACUGGGACUGAGACACGGCCCAGACUCCUACGGGAGGCAGCAGUGGGGAAUAUUGGACAAUGGGCGGAAGCCUGAUCCAGCCAUGCCGCGUGUGUGAAGAAGGCCUUAUGGUUGUAAAGCACUUUAAGCGAGGAGGAGGCUACCAGUAUUAAUACUUUCUGGAUAGUGGACGUUCCUCGCAGAAUAAGC